UCACCAAAAGCUCUCAAGCUUGGCUCUGUGAGAAGAGGAAAGCAAUAUAAACAGGAAGAUAACCUUGAAGGAAAUGGCCCAAAGCAAAGGAAGGAGAAGUUUGGGUUAAAAAGAAAAUAAAGGUUGCAGCACCAUCACUGGAGAUAUACCCAAGAUGAGGUUAGGUCUCAGAGGAACAGCACUACAAUGGACAAUAUGCAGCUGAGACUUAUAUCUGUCUAAGGGUUUUAUAUUGUCACCCUUCACUGUAGUAAUUGAAUAUCCUCCAUGUAAAAAUCAAUAGCAUCAGCAAAGUCCUUAGUGGACUUCAUGGAGUUGCAUAUGUAGCUGACAAUGUACACCUAAUAAAAGAGGUGCUGAUGGCCUGUC